ACUCCUACGGGAGGCAGCAGUGGGGAAUAUUGGACAAUGGGGGAAACCCUGAUCCAGCCAUGCCGCGUGUGUGAAGAAGGCCUUCGGGUUGUAAAGCACUUUCAGUGGGGAGGAAAGGGUGUAAGUUAAUACCUUACAUCUGUGACGUUACUCGCAGAAGAAGCACCGGCUAACUCCGUGCCAGCAGCCGCGGUAAUACGGAGGGUGCGAGCGUUAAUCGGAAUUACUGGGCGUAAAGCGUGCGCAGGCGGUUUGUUAAGCGAGAUGUGAAAGCCCCGGGCUCAACCUGGGAACCGCAUUUCGAACUGGCAAACUAGAGUCUUGUAGAGGGGGUAGAAUUCCAGGUGUAGCGGUGAAAUGCGUAGAGAUCUGGAGGAAUACCGGUGGCGAAGGCGGCCCCCUGGACAAAGACUGACGCUCAGGCACGAAAGCGUGGGGAGCAAACAGGAUUAGAUACCCUGGUAGGAUAGCG
rnacentral:rRNA from 1 species